CUUCAAACCAAUGAAGUAAAUACAUUAAAAUUGGAAAGAUCCAGUGUGGAUUAGUGUGGCCCCUUGACGAGAAUGACACAAACAUUUAUCAAGUAUUUCUUAUUUUU